rnacentral:tRNA from 1 species
AGUGUAGCUCAGUCGGUAGAGCAGCUGAUUCGUAAUCAGCAGGUCGGGAGUUCGAGUCUCCCCACU